rnacentral:lncRNA from 1 species
CAGAUCAGCCUGAGCCUCCUUAUGCUUCGCCUCGGCAGCAAUGCGAGCGGCCUCAGCCUCCUCCAGGCGCGAAUGAAGCUCCUGGUCGCUCACGCGGGACUUCUCCAAGGCCGACUCCAAUUCGCCCAGCUUGGCUUCAAGAGACCGGGUUCGGUUGCGGGCGUUGUCGGCUGACCGCUGGGCCUUCUCCCACCUCUCCCGGUAGUCGGCAGCCUUCCGGGACUGCUUCUCGGCCCGCUCCUCCGCCUUCUUGAUCUCGCCCUCGAGACCCGAGGCAACCUUGAGUUGCUCCUGA